rnacentral:rRNA from 1 species
GACGAACGCUGGCGGCGUGCUUAACACAUGCAAGUCGAGCGGUAAGGCCCUUUCGGGGGUACACGAGCGGCGAACGGGUGAGUAACACGUGGGUGAUCUGCCCUCAGCUCUGGGAUAAGCCUGGGAAACCGGGUCUAAUACUGGGAUAUGACUCCAUGACGCAUGUUGUGGGGUGAAAGCCUUGUGCGGCUGAGGAUGGGCCCGCGGCCUAUCAACUUGUUGGUGGGGUGANGGCCUACCAAGGCGACGACGGGUAGCCGGCCUGAGAGGGCGACCGGCCACACUGGGACUGAGACACGGGCCCAGACUCCUACGGGAGGCAGCAGUGGGGAAUCUUGCGCAAUGGGCGAAAGCCUGACGCAGCGACGCCGCGUGAGGGAUGACGGCCU